GUGACUCACUUCCUCCGUUCCCGAGAAAAUCUAGUUUUUCCCGACAGGUGGCGCUCACACUGCAUGAAGUCACAACUAGAGCUUCAGUGGCCGUGUCAUUCCACCUUCCCUUCAUUCUGUCAAGCAACAAAUGUACUGAAUCCUAUGUGCCGGCUGCAUGACCUACUUAUUACUGAGUGUGGUCAUCGGGAGUACACCGUCCGAGCAUGUGGGACGCACUGAGUUCCAUCACCCGCACUGCAAAAACAGGAACAAUAACAAUGGAAAACUGAUGUCCUUGCUUUUCAGUUUUCCAGGAGCUACUCAGCUGACAGCAGUCUGGGACGCGCCUCCUGACCUCCUGUGUCUGGGAGAGUCCGUAAGAGCAAGACCACUCUUUCUUGAGAAGGGAAAGGCGAGAAAAGGGAGACAUGGAAAACACCGAAGGCAUGAAGGCAGGUUACAGUUGUCCUUUGGGAGUCGGGCCCUUCUCACAUUCCUGGACAUAGUUAUAGAAACAGUAGAUACAAAGACCUCGCUGGGGACGCUGCCCAGAAGACCUGAGUGGGCCUGAGCUGACCAAUUUGGGGCCAGAUCCAGCACUUUUAGUCAGUCCACUGCAACAUCUACCAUAUCGACAAGCUGCGGGAACAUGUGGAGGAUCCGGAUCCUGCAGAACAGAAGAGUCCUAGGCCCACCAGCCAGCCUCCAGCAUGGAGGCCGUGCAGCUGUAGCCUAGGCUGCUUGCUCUGCUAAAAGAUGGAGAGCAAGGGGGUCGUGGUGCUGCCUGCGGGCUACAAACAUAACGGUCAAACCUUGCAAGCCUCAGUACGACACACAUCAAGGGUGGGGAGGUGUACUCCACAACCUGGAGCUGGCACAGAACCUACCCCUGUUUCACAGGGGCUCUCUGACUCUGGCCAGGAUAUCUGAAACGAGUCCAUUAUUUAUAGUGUGUUAGAAAUCAGAAACCUUGAACCAGACCAACAACUUGUUGUAAUGAAUAUUUGUAUGUAAAGGUGUAUGGGCAAAAAUAUAUACUGUGUGACA